rnacentral:rRNA from 1 species
AUGGGCAAGGGGAAGCAGCGCGUCCGCGCCCGCGGCGACGGCGCCGGAGGAGAGCCUGCCGGGGAAGGCGAAGCUGCCGGCGGGGGCCACACCCCCUCCACCGUCUUCGUCUCCAACCUGCCGUACACCUACAAGUCCUCCGAUCUCGAGACGGUGUUCAGCGAGGUCGGGCCGGUGAGGCGCUGCUUCAUGGUCGCGUCGAAAGGGUCCGAGACGAGUAAAGGAUUUGGGUUUGUACAAUUUGCCACUGUUCAGGAUGCUGAGCGAGCUAUUCAACAAAAGAAUGGUUUUGCUGUUGCUGGUAGGAAAAUCAGAGUUAAGCUCGCAAUACAACGUGCUCCGUUGAAGGAACGUUUGCAAAAGAAAGAGAGCGUGCAAGCUGACGACUCCAAUGCAAAAGAUGAAGAAGAUGACAAUUCUACUCCUGUUCCUGUAAAACAUAAGGAGACCUCUCAUAAAGCUGAUGCAGGACCACCACAGUUAUUGGCCAAGGAUACCAAAGUAGCGAAGGAAGUUAGCAUUAAUGCUACUGAUAAAGCGAAAAGUUCUGAAAAGCAAAGGAUCGCCAAAACCGUUAUAUUUGGUGGUCUUCAAGACUUCUCCAUGGCUAGUGAAGUUUUCCGUCUGGCAGGAGAGAUUGGCACGGUAGUGUCUGUAAAUUAUCCACUUCCAAAAGAGGAAAUGGAGCUCCAUGGGCUUGCACGCGAUGGGUGCACAUCGGAUGCGGCAGCAGUACUCUUUUCAAGUGUGAAAUCAGCUUGGGAGGCUGUUGUCCUCUUGCAUCACAAGGAGAUAAAAGGAGCAAUUGUUUGGGCUCGUCAACUUGGUGGGGAGGGUUCAAAGAUCAGGAAACGGAGAGUGAUAGUCAGGAACCUGCCAUUCAAGGUUACUAUAAAGGAGAUCAUGGACAUAUUUAGUUGUGAAGGAUUUGUCUGGGAUGUCUCCAUUCCACAAAAAUCUGAUGAUGGGAAAUCAAAAGGCUUUGCUUUUCUGUCUUUCACACGCAAACAGGAUGCAGAAAAUGCUAUAAAAAAUGUUAACGGAAAAGUUAUUGCAAAGAGAACAGUAGCUGUUGAUUGGGCUGUUCCGAAGAAUGUAUAUGCUGUUGCUGCAAAGUCUGAUGCUAAGGACGAUGAGUUGGAAGAUAUAUCUGACAAGGGCAGUGACGAGGAAUCCUCUGAAGAUAAUCUUGUUGGAGGAGAUGACAGCGAUGAUGACUGUGAACUUGAUCAGGAGACUUCAAAUUGUCUUCCUGAGGAUGAUUUCAAAAGUGAAGCGGACAUUUCUAGAAAAGUUCUUGCAAAUUUGAUCAAGUCAUCGGAGAAGUCUGAGCGGUCUGGUGUUGAGAGUUCUGAUAUUGAUACAGAUUCUGAAACAGAAAAUGACACACCAGAAAAGAGUUCUGAUAUUGAUACAGAUUCUGAAACAGAAAAUGACACACCGAAAAAGAAGCAACCCCAGUCACCUGCAGCUGUCAAGUUGGCAGAAUCUAAAGAUGUAACAAAGGCAGAAAGUAUCAUUCCUGCUUUGAAACCUGCAGCUGCCAUGUUGGCAGAAUCUAAACAUGUAGCAGAGACAGAAAGCAAUGUUCCUUCUUUGAAACCUAAGAAAGAAGAUGCUGGCCUGGAUAGGACAAUAUUCAUAAGCAACCUUCCUUUCGAUAUUAGCAAUGAGGAGGUAACAGAGCGGUUCUCAGUGUUUGGGAAGGUUCAAUCUUUCUUCCCAGUUCUGCAUAAACUCACAAAGAGACCUAGAGGGACUGGUUUUCUCAAGUUUUCUACAGCAGAGGCAGCCGAUGCAGCAGUUUCUGCUGCUAAUGCUGCUCCUGGAUUAGGAAUUUUUGUAAAAAGCAGACCACUUAAUGUUAAGAAAGCGCUGGAUAAGGAGUCAGCUCACAAAAAGGAACUGGAGAAGGGAAAGAAUGAGGUUGAGGAUCGACGCAACCUGUAUUUGUCAAAGGAAGGUGAAAUACUCCCUGGAACGCCAGCUGCGGAAGGUGUAUCAGAUGUUGACAUGAAUAAACGUAGUUGGUUGGCUAAAAGAAAAGCAGAAAUGCUUGUAUCUCCAAAAUUCCAUGUCUCCAGAACAAGGCUUAUCAUUUACAAUUUGCCAAAGACUCUGACCAUUAAUGAUGUAAAGAAGCUUUGCCGAGAAGCAGUAAUUUCUCGUGCUACCAAGCAAAAUCCUGUCAUCCGGAAGGUAAAUAUCCUAAACAAUGAAAAGAAAGGUCAGGGUGCUGCACAGAAGCAUUCCCGAGGGGUAGCCUUUGUUGACUUUCAAGAACAUGAGCAUGCUCUUGUAGCUCUGAGGGUUCUAAACAACAACCCUGGAACCUUCGGUACAGAACGUCGUCCAAUUGUUGAGUUUGCACUUGAGGAUGUUGAAAAAAUGAGGCUCCAGAAGAUUCGAAACGAACGCAAUGGUAGGGCAAAAGAGGCUGCACAAGAGCGUAGGGCUCUGGGAGAUCAGUCUACAACUGAUGGCCCUCGUCCAAAAAAGAAGAGACCUUUUGGAAAAGGGAGCAAGCGAGAAUCGCAAGAUAUACCAUUUAAAUUAUCCGACUCUGGCAAAGGACCUUCAGAUGAUCUGUCAGUUCCUGGAGGUCCUAACACCACUGUGGAAAGCACACAGGGAGACAAAAGGCAAUCUCAAAGGCCCGCAAAACGAGCACGGCAGUCAGUUAAGGGAACCUCCUCUGUGUCAGAUGGAAAUCGAACAGAUGCAGCCCCAAAUGCUGCACCGAGUGGACCAUCCACAGCACACACUCAGGCGGACGCACGGAGAAAAAGGAGGAACAGAAAUGAUAGUGAGCAGAAGAGAGAUAAGGCUACGAAAAGGGCGAGGAAAGAUGCAAGUGGGGUGGGCGGCGUGGACAAGUCGCUGGCGGAGCAGUACCGCUCCAAGUUUCUGCAGCACGGCGUGAACAAAACCAAGGCUAGUUAA